UACGUAGGGGGCGGGCGUUGUCCGGAAUGACUGGGCGUAGAGGGCGUGUAGGCGGUCGAUUAAGUCUGGAGUGAAGGUCCUGAUUUCAAGUUGGGAAUUGCUUUGGAUACUGGUUGACUUGAGUGCGGAAGAGGUAAGUGGAAUUCCCAGUGUAGCGGUGAAAUGCGUAGAGAUUGGGAGGAACACCAGUGGCGAAGGCGACUUACUGGGCCGUAACUGACGCUGGGGCGCGAAAGCGUGGGGAGCGAAC
rnacentral:rRNA from 1 species